UAGGGAAUAUUGGGCAAUGGAGGCAACUCUGACCCAGCCAUGCCGCGUGCAGGAAGAAGGCGCUCAGCGUUGUAAACUGCUUUUAUCGGGGAAGAAACGACCCUUGCGAGGGGCAUUGACGGUACCCGAUGAAUAAGCACCGGCUAACUCCGUGCCAGCAGCCGCGGUAAUACGGAGGGUGCAAGCGUUGUCCGGAUUUAUUGGGUUUAAAGGGUGCGCAGGCGGGAAGGUUAGUGCGUGGUGAAAGACGAUCGCUCAACGAUUGCAGUGCCAUGAAUACUGCCUUUCUUGAAUCUGGUUGAGGCCGGUGGAAUUGACCGUGUAGCGGUGAAAUGCAUAGAUAUGGUCAAGAACUCCAAUUGCGAAGGCAGCCGGCUGGGCCAGUAUUGACGCUCAGGCACGAGAGUGCGGGGAUCAAACA
rnacentral:rRNA from 1 species